AGUAAUAGAGACCUGGUUGAAGCACCAACAGCAUAAAAGAAGGAGGAAAAUAAUAGACAACGAAAAGGAAAGGAAAUUACUAAAUGGACAAGAAUUUCUGAUUGUGAUAUUUAAGAUGAAGAAAGUAAAACGGAAAUGUCGAAAUUGACUUUAGGACAGGGUGAAGGGUAGGAACUAAUUUGGACAUGAUACUUAGAGAAGGCACUUAACAUUCAUGCUCAGACCUGAAUGAUUUGAAUGAUGAGGGGACCCCCACCUUUUGAUAAUCUGGGGGCUUGAGGAAGUAAGGAGCUGGGCAUAUCUGAAGGACAGUUGCCAUGUUUUGAGACUGUGGAAGGAAAUGACGACAGCCCUACUUGCCAAGCCCACCAAUUGACUGCCAUCACCUCUACUUGGCUUUAUCAAUUUCAAGGACCUCUUCCUGGGCCUGCCAGUUAAUCUGCCCUUCUGCAUGGUCCUAGGAGGGAUCAGGCCCAAUUCCAGGGGACCUCCCAAGAGAGGCAGAGUGAGAUGGUAGCACCACUUCCUGGGAACCUUUUUCAUUAUCAGUUCUUUUGUUUUUAUUUUGAAGCAGGUUCUGGCUGAGUUGCCCAAGCUGGCCUCAAAC
rnacentral:lncRNA from 1 species